rnacentral:rRNA from 1 species
GACAGAGGGUGCAAACGUUGUUCGGAAUUACUGGGCGUAAAGCGCGUGUAGGCUGCUUCGAAAGUCGGAUGUGAAAGCCCUGGGCUCAACCUAGGAAGUGCACUCGAAACUUCGAAGCUGGAGUCUUGGAGAGGAAGGCGGAAUUCUCGGUGUAGAGGUGAAAUUCGUAGAUAUCGAGAGGAACACCGGUGGCGAAGGCGGCCUUCUGGACAAUGACUGACGCUGAGACGCGAAAGCGUGGGGAGCAAACAGG